rnacentral:rRNA from 1 species
GACGAAGGAUCCAAGCGUUAUCCGGAUUCAUUGGGUUUAAAGGGUGCGUAGGCGGCCCGGUAAGUCAGUGGUGAAAUCUCCUUGCUUAACAAGGAAACUGCCAUUGAUACUGCUGGGCUUGAAUACAGAUGCUGUGGGCGGAAUAUGACAUGUAGUGGUGAAAUACAUAGAGAUGUCAUAGAACACCGAUUGCGAAGGCAGCUCACAAAACUGUAACUGACGCUGAGGCACGAAAGUGCGGGGAUCAAACAGG